rnacentral:rRNA from 1 species
AGAGUUAGCCGUCUCUUCCUCUUGAGGUACUAUCAACCUUGCACGCUUCUCACGCACAAGGCUUGCUCCCUCAUGACAGCGGUUUACAAUCCGAAGACCUUCUUCCCGCACGCGGCGUUGCUGGGUCAGGCUUGCGCCCAUUGCCCAAUAUUCCCCACUGCUGCCUCCCGUAGGAGUCUGGACCGUGUCUCAGUUCCAGUGUGGCCGAUCAGCCUCUCAGCUCGGCUACCCAUCGCGGACUUGGUGGGCCAUUACCCCGCCAACUAUCUAAUGGGACGCGAGCCCCUCCUUCUGCGGAUUUCUCCUUUGACCUCUCUGCCAUGCGACAGUGUGGUCUUAUGCGGUAUUAGCAACAAUUUCUUGUUGUUAUCCCCCUCAAAAGGCAGGUUGCUCACGCGUUACUCACCCGUUCGCCACUAAAUUACAGACCGAAGUCUGUAACUCCGUUCGACUUGCAUGUGUUAGGCACGCCGCCAGCGUUCGUCCUGAGCCAGGAUCAAACUCUGA